CCUACGGGUGGCAGCAGUGGGGAAUAUUGGGCAAUGGGCGCAAGCCUGACCCAGCAACGCCGCGUGAAGGAAGAAGGCUUUCGGGUUGUUAACUUCUUUUAAGAGGGAAGAGACGAAGACGGUAUCUAUUGAAUAAGCCACGGCUAACAACGUGACAGCCGCCGCGGUACUACGUAGGUGGCAAGCGGUGUCCGGAUUUACUGGGUGUAAAGGGCGUGUAGCCGGGCUGACAAGUCAGAUGUGAAAUCCGGGGGCCCAACCCACGAACUGCAGUUGAAACUGUUGGUCUUGAGUAUCGGAGAGGCAUGCGGAAUUCCUAGUGUAGCGGUGAAAUGCGUAGAUAUUAGGAGGAACACCAGUUGCGAAGGCGGCCUGCUGGACGACAACUGACGGUGAGGCGCGAAAGCGUGGGGAGCGAACAGGAUUAGAUACCCGAGUAGUC
rnacentral:rRNA from 1 species